rnacentral:rRNA from 1 species
AGAGUUUGAUCAUGGCUCAGAACGAACGCUGGCGGCGUGCUUAACACAUGCAAGUCGAACGAGAACACUUCUUCGGAAGUUAUUAAAGUGGCAAACGGGUGAGUAAUGCAUAGGUAACCUGCCUUUUAGACUGGGACAACUCUCCGAAAGGGGCGCUAAUACCAGAUAAGACCACAGCUUCCUUGGAAGCAGUGGUAAAAGAUGGCCUCUUCUUGAAAGCUAUUACUAAUAGAUGGGCUUAUGUGCCAUUAGCUUGUUGGUGAGGUAAAGGCUCACCAAGGCUGCGAUGGCUAGCUGAUCUGAGAGGAUGAUCAGCCACACUGGAACUGAGACACGGUCCAGACUCCUACGGGAGGCAGCAGUGGGGAAUAUUGCGCAAUGGGGGAAACCCUGACGCAGCGACGCCGCGUGAGCGAUGAAGGAUUUCGGUUCGUAAAGCUCUGUCAGAAGGGAAGAAAGGUAGUAUGGCUAAUAUCCAUAUUGACUGACGGUACCUUCGGAGGAAGCACCGGCUAACUACGUGCCAGCAGCCGCGGUAAUACGUAGGGUGCAAGCGUUGUUCGGAAUUAUUGGGCGUAAAGAGCGUGUAGGCGGCUAGGUAAGUCGGAUGUGAAAGCCCCGAGCUCAACUCGGGAAGUGCAUUCGAAACUGCUUAGCUAGAGAACGGUAGAGGAAGGUGGAAUUCCUAGUGUAGAGGUGAAAUUCGUAGAUAUUAGGAGGAAUACCGGUGGCGAAGGCGGCCUUCUGGACCGGUACUGACGCUGAGACGCGAAAGCGUGGGUAGCAAACAGGAUUAGAUACCCUGGUAGUCCACGCCGUAAACGAUGAGUACUAGGUGUUGCGGGUAUUGACCCCUGCAGUGCCGCAGCUAACGCGUUAAGUACUCCGCCUGGGAAGUACGGUCGCAAGAUUAAAACUCAAAGGAAUUGACGGGGGCCCGCACAAGCGGUGGAGCAUGUGGUUUAAUUCGAUGCAACGCGAAAAACCUUACCUGGGUUUGAAAUCCCCGGACAGCCCUAGAGAUAGGGUUUUCUCUUCGGAGACUGGGAGUACAGGUGCUGCAUGGCUGUCGUCAGCUCGUAUCGUGAGAUGUCGGGUUAAGUCCCUUAACGAGCGCAACCCUUAUCCUUAGUUGCUACCAUUUAGUUGGGCACUCUAAGGAGACUGCCGGUGUUAAGCCGGAGGAAGGUGGGGAUGACGUCAAGUCCUCAUGGCCCUUAUGUCCAGGGCUACACACGUGCUACAAUGGCCGGUACAGAGGGCUGCCAACCCGCGAGGGGGAGCAAAUCUCAGAAAGCCGGUCUUAGUUCGGAUUGGAGUCUGCAACUCGACUCCAUGAAGUUGGAAUCGCUAGUAAUCGCAAAUCAGCAGGUUGCGGUGAAUACGUUCCCGGGCCUUGUACACACCGCCCGUCACACCACGAAAGUUAACCAAACCAGAAGUCGGUAUACCAACCUUCGGGAGGAAGCCGCCCAAGGUGUGGUUGAUGAUUGGGGUGAAGUCGUAACAAGGUA